CCUACGGGAGGCAGCAGUGGGGAAUAUUGGACAAUGGGCGCAAGCCUGAUCCAGCCAUGCCGCGUGAGUGAUGAAGGCCCUAGGGUUGUAAAGCUCUUUCAGCUGGGAAGAUAAUGACGGUACCAGCAGAAGAAGCCCCGGCUAACUACGUGCCAGCAGCCGCGGUAAU
rnacentral:rRNA from 1 species